rnacentral:rRNA from 1 species
UGAACGCUGGCGGCGUGCCUUAAGCAUGCAAGUCGAACGGAGAGAUUAUUAUAGCAAUAUAGCUGUCAAUUAGUGGCGGACGAGUGAGUACAAGCAAGGAACGUACCCUAAAGUAUCGCAUAGCUCGUCGAAAGACGGGGUAAUACGGUAUGUGAUCGCAAGAUUAAAGGAGCAAUUCGCUUUAGGAGCGGCCUUGUACCUAUCAGCUUGUUGGUGAGGUAAUGGCUUACCAAGGCUACGACGGGUAGGGGGUGUGAGAGCAUGACCCCCCACGAUGGCACUGAGAUACGGGCCAUACACCUACGGGUGGCAGCAACUGGGAAUCGUUGACAAUGGGCGAAAGCCUGAUCACGCGACGCCGCGUGAAGGAUGAAGGCCUUCGGGUCGUAAACUUCUUUUGUUCCGUUUCCGAAGCGGGACGAAUAAGCAUCUACUAACUACGUGCCAGCAGUCGCGGUAAUACGUAGGAUGCAAGCGUUAUCCGGAAUCACUGGGCGUAAAGAGUCGUGUAGGCGGUCUUCCGCAUCGUAUUUGAAAGCCCGAGGCUUAACCUCGGUGUUGGACACGAGAUGGGGAGACUUGAGGGUAGAAGAGGGAAGGGGAACUCAUGGUGAAGCAGUGAAAUGCGUUGAUAUCAUGAGGAACACCGAAGGCGAAGGCACCUUCCUGGUAUACACCUGACGCUGAGACACGAAAGCUAGGGGAGCGAAGCAGAUUAGAGACCUGCGUAGUCCUAGCCCUAAACGCAUGCCUGCUAGAUGCCCCGCCUAUGGCGGGGUGUCGUAAGCUAACGCGUUAAGCAGGCCGCCUGGGGAGUACGAUCGCAAGAUUAAAACUCAAAGGAAUUGACGGGGACCCGCACAACCAGUGGAGCGUGUGGUUCAAUUCGAGACAAAGCGAAGCACCUAACCAGGGCUUGACAUGCUAGAGUCCUAUUUCCUGGAAACAGGAGAAAUUCGCAAGAAGACUAGCACAGCUGCUGCAUGGCUGUCGUCAGCUCGUGCCGUGAGGUGUUCUCUUAAGUGAGACAACGAGCGCAACCCCCAUCUGAUGUUACAAGUGUCAUCAGAGACGGUCUUAGAUUUAUCUAGGAAGGAAGGAGGGGACGACGUCAAGUCAGCACGGCGCUUAUGCCCUGGGUCACACACACCCUACAAUGGCGAAAAACAAUGGGCUGCAAGCCAGUAAUGGCACGCAAAUCCCCACUAAAUUUCGCCUCAGUUCAGAUUGAGGUCUGCAACCCGACCUCAUGAAGUCGGAAUUGGUAGUAAUCGCAGAUCAGCAGGCUGCGGUGAAUACGUUCUCGGGUCUUGUACACACCGCCCGUCAAGCCAACAAAGUUGGAGGCGGCCGAAGGCCCCGCUCAGCGGGGUCGAAGCCGAAUUCAGCGAUGGGGACU